AGGGAGUUAGCCAAGUGGUACGGCAACAGGCUUUGAUCCUGUUAUGCAAAGGUUCGAUCCCUUUACUCCCCGCCA
rnacentral:tRNA from 1 species